rnacentral:tRNA from 1 species
GCGUCUUUAGCUCAGUUGAGUAGAGCAUCUGGCUCUUAACCAGCGGGUCACAGGUUCGAGCUCUGUACGAACGUACCA